AGUGAACGCUGGCGGUAUGCCUAACACAUGCAAGUCGAACGGCAGCACAGUAAGAGCUUGCUCUUACGGGUGGCGAGUGGCGGACGGGUGAGGAAUACAUCGGAAUCUACUUUUUCGUGGGGGAUAACGUAGGGAAACUUACGCUAAUACCGCAUACGACCUACGGGUGAAAGCAGGGGAUCUUCGGACCUUGCGCGAGUGAAUGAGCCGAUGUCGGAUUAGCUAGUUGGCGGGGUAAAGGCCCACCAAGGCGACGAUCCGUAGCUGGUCUGAGAGGAUGAUCAGCCACCCUGGAACUGAGACACGGUCCAGACUCCUACGGGAGGCAGCAGUGGGGAAUAUUGGACAAUGGGCGCAAGCCUGAUCCAGCCAUACCGCGUGGGUGAAGAAGGCCUUCGGGUUGUAAAGCCCUUUUGUUGGGAAAGAAAAGCAGCAGGUUAAUACCCCGCUGUUCUGACGGUACCCAAAGAAUAAGCACCGGCUAACUUCGUG
rnacentral:rRNA from 1 species